rnacentral:rRNA from 1 species
AGUGAACGCUGGCGGUAGGCCUAACACAUGCAAGUCGAACGGCAGCACAGUAAGAGCUUGCUCUUACGGGUGGCGAGUGGCGGACGGGUGAGGAAUACAUCGGAAUCUACUUUUUCGUGGGGGAUAACGUAGGGAAACUUACGCUAAUACCGCAUACGAUCUACGGGUGAAAGCAGGGGAUCUUCGGACCUUGCGCGAUUGAAUGAGCCGAUGUCGGAUUAGCUAGUUGGCGGGGUAAAGGCCCACCAAGGCGACGAUCCGUAGCUGGUCUGAGAGGAUGAUCAGCCACACUGGAACUGAGACACGGUCCAGACUCCUACGGGAGGCAGCAGUGGGGAAUAUUGGACAAUGGGCGCAAGCCUGAUCCAGCCAUACCGCGUGGGUGAAGAAGGCCUUCGGGUUGUAAAGCCCUUUUGUUGGGAAAGAAGAGCAGCAGGUUAAUACCCCGCUGUUCUGACGGUACCCAAAGAAUAAGCACCGGCUAACUUCGUG